rnacentral:pre_miRNA from 1 species
AAUGAAAUUGGUAGGUCACAUGAUAGUUACAUGUUCAGUUUUUUAAGAAACUGAUAAAUGUUUUCCAGAGUGACUGUACCAUUUUGUGUUCCCAUCAGCAAU